UCAGACAAUCAUUCAAAGAUUGUUACACAGCAGAAAGUGCUCAGAGAUAGUCUCCUCCAGAGCAAAGGUCAGGCAGGUUUAUAGCACAACGUUAUGUAAAAAACACAAUCAGUUUCCCUAGCAUUGAAGGGUUCCUCAGCUGUGAGUCAGUUACUCCACCUACCUGGAUCUGUGUAAAUCAUCCCCCUGGGAUUUGGAUAGUAAGGGGAACUCAGGCACAAGGAAAGCUCAUACUGAUUUCUCUGCUGUGAGUAACCGAGAUUUUUGUCUCUGAUCCAAGGCUCUUGUGCCUCCUCGAAGACCAACAUGGUAGCUUGGACGUUGAGUCAAAUCAGACCCUUCACAGUUCUUGAAAGUUGUUGGGAAAGAGAAGAUGAAAUGCAGACAGAGACGUGACUCUGGAAGAGAAAAGAUGUUCUUGGCGCAGUAAUGAUCUGCCAAUAGCCCUCUUUUCUUAGAGCCCAUGCCUUCCCAACUUCUUCAUCUGAUCUGCUGCUCAUCCAAGGAGUACUCUUCUAAUUUUUAAGUGACUCAAUGUCAAGUCGUGGUUGCUAGGAGCCUCCUCAGACGGUGAGUCCCAGGUUCCCUCACUUGACUUCUGCUUUAUUGCUAAGAUCAAUCACCUCCCUCAGACGUAUUUUGCAAAUAAUUAAGCCCAACCGUUUUUUCCUGGUGGCAAUAACUCUCCAGCCAAUUUUUGCUUUAAUCCCUCUAAUUCUAGGAUUCUCUCUUGUUCUUACCAGCAUCGUCACCUAACAGCAGCAGAAGACUGGGUUGUGGUCCUAAACUGCAGCCCUGAUCACUGCUUGGCAUAGAUGUUCUGGGAGGCCCAGUAUCUGCCCAGCUACCUUGCCAGACAUUUCUAGCUCUAGGAGUGAGUAUUUCUGUACUCUGCUUUCCUUCCUAUCAGUCCACCCCGGGAACCUUUUAUUAAGUAUUUCUCAUUGUACUUUC
rnacentral:lncRNA from 10 species